rnacentral:rRNA from 1 species
GAUGAACGCUGGCGGCGUGCCUAAUACAUGCAAGUCGAGCGAACGGACGAGAAGCUUGCUUCUCUGAUGUUAGCGGCGGACGGGUGAGUAACACGUGGAUAACCUACCUAUAAGACUGGGAUAACUUCGGGAAACCGGAGCUAAUACCGGAUAAUAUUUUGAACCGCAUGGUUCAAAAGUGAAAGACGGUCUUGCUGUCACUUAUAGAUGGAUCCGCGCUGCAUUAGCUAGUUGGUAAGGUAACGGCUUACCAAGGCAACGAUGCAUAGCCGACCUGAUAGGAGGAUCGGCCACACUGGAACUGAGACACGGUCGAGACACCUACGGGAGGCCGCAGUGGGGAAUAUGGGGGAAUGGGCUCAAGCCUUAUCCAUCUAUACCGCGGGAAUGAAGAAGGCCUUCGGGUUGUAAAGCCCUUUUGUGGGAAAAGAAAAGCAGCAGGGGAAUACCCCGCUGUUCUGACGGUACCCAAAGAAUAAGCAACGGCUAACUUCGUG